AUUGAACGCUGGCGGCAUGCCUUACACAUGCAAGUCGAACGGUAACGCGGGGCAACCUGGCGACGAGUGGCGAACGGGUGAGUAAUAUAUCGGAACGUGCCCAAUAGUGGGGGAUAGCCCGGCGAAAGCCGGAUUAAUACCGCAUACGACCUGAGGGUGAAAGCGGGGGAUCGCAAGACCUCGCGCUAUUGGAGCGGCCGAUAUCAGAUUAGGUAGUUGGUGGGGGUAAAAGCCUACCAAGCCUACGAUCUGUAGCUGGUCUGAGAGGACGACCAGCCACACUGGGACUGAGACACGGCCCAGACUCCUACGGGAGGCAGCAGUGGGGAAUUUGGACAAUGGGCGCAAGCCUGAUCCAGCCAUGCCGCGUGCGGGAAGAAGGCC
rnacentral:rRNA from 1 species